rnacentral:rRNA from 1 species
UAUUAUUCUUAAAUAAGUUUAUUCCUAAAUUAGUAAUAGAUAUUUACUUAAAAGUUAAAAAAUUUGGCGGUAAUUUAAUCUUUUCAGAGGAACUUGUUUUUUAAUCGAUAACCCUCGAAUAAUCUUACUCAUCUUAGUAAAGUUUGUAUACCAUCAUUAUCAGGAAAUUUUUAAAGAAUAAUUUCUAAGUUUAAAUUUGAUAUAAAAAUUAGAUCAAGGUGCAGCUUAUAUGUGAGUUAAAAUGAGUUACAAUAAAACUUUUUACACGGAUAGUUAAAGAAUAAUAAACUAUGAAGGAGGAUUUGGUUGUAUUAAAAAUUUAAUAUGUUUUUAAGAUGAUAGCUCUAAAUUAUGUACAUAU